rnacentral:lncRNA from 1 species
AUGCGCGGUGCCAUCAGCCCGGUGCAGCGCAGCAGAGGGGAUGCCCACGGUGCGACCCAUCGGCCCCAGCAGCUUGAUGACUGCAAGAAUGCCCCAAUUUCCUCAUUCCAAAAAGCCCUCGCUGCCAAGGCUCAGGUGGAGCGGACACGCAUGGUACUGCAGCUCCAGGGGGUGGCAGGAACAGAGCAAGGAUUUCAAUGGCUGGGGCAUGGAGAGAAGGAUUAUUGCGAGCAGAUGAGCCGGCAACCCAACGAAAGUGCAGAAUUAGAGUGUUUUAAUGAGGCUUUCAGGGUGAGCAGCAACCUGGUGGCAUCUCCUCUGGAGGAGAGCAGUGAUUUGAAGGGAAGCAAAGCAAAGGCUGGAGAUGUUCAGCACCAAGUCCCUGCCCUCGAGGUGCCCCUGCCCUGGGUCUGUGCCCCCAGCAUUGCUGCUGUGCGGGGUUUGUGGAUGGGAACCACGCAGCGGUGCAGCCAUGGAGCAGCCGUGUGGGAGAACACUCUGCUCCUCUCCUGGAGCCCAUUGCGACAGCUGCAGAGCUCCAUCCCCAGAGGAGACACGCGGCAAUCCAGCUCCCAUCUGCGCGCGGCCCUGGGCCCCAUGAAGCUGUCUGUGUGCGGGGGGAGUGGGGCGGCUGCAAUGCGCACAAGGUGCUCUCGUCAUGAAAGCAUCUUUUGAUGAUGUUAUUGCAGCUAUCAAAAUAUUGCAGAGUUCAGAGCAUUCCGCAGGGAUCCCCGCGCUCUUCAAAGGCCGGAGGACCACGGCUGGGGAAAAAGAAGCCUUUAAUUACAUCGGCUUCCACGCUUGUUUCUGCAGUGGAGAUCCUUUAAAAAAAGAAAAAAUAGUUUUAAUGAGAAGAAACACAUAUGGCCCCAUUGUUCAAACACGGAGAGAUACAGCUGAUUUUUUUUUAAUAGAUAGCAAGUUCCUUUGCAUCUCCUGGACCUCAGACCGAGGGGCUCUGCGCUGAGCAGCCCCAGCAGCGGGGCUCUCCGUGGGGCAGAGCAGCUCCAUCCCAGCCCCACCCCACCCAUCACCCCCCCGUUCCCAUCGCCCUCACGCUCUUCAGCAGUGCUCUCCUCCUCCCCUGCUCCUUCCAACCGCGCAGAGCUUCACGCAGUGGGAUUGCAGCAGGGUGAUCCUCCACGAGCACACUCAUUUCUCUCAGAUGUUCAUUUGGAUCCGAAUGGAAAAGCUCAUUUUUCCCACUAUGUAAAUAGCAGCGCCGCGUAUGACACCACGGAAAGCACGGGACAGCCCCACAUUUGAGAGAACAUGUUGAGCAUAUUCUUCUAAUAAAUAAUCCUAUCUAGCAAAUUUAAUUAACGGG